rnacentral:snoRNA from 1 species
NNCGGAUGACUGCCACAGCAAACUCCGCAGCUCAUGGGCCCUGGGUCCCCUGCCCUGGGACCUGGGGAUAAGUUUGGCUACAGACACGG